GUUAGCAUGGUGUAGUAGUUUGAACAUUAGACUACAACUCUGGAGAUCAGGGUUCAAAUCCCUGCUCAACCA